GCCCCACCGUAAAAUAUAUACUUACAAAACUAACGCCAGGGUAUUACGAGCCUCAGCUUAAAACCCAAAGGACUUGACGGUGUCCCAUCCAACUAGAGGAGCCUGUUCUAUAAUCGAUAACCCCCGAUAUACCUAACCCCCCCUUGCCAAUCAGCCUGUAUACCUCCGUCGUAAGCUCACCAUAUGAAUGCCAACAGUAAGUUUAAUGAUUUAUCAUCAAUACGUCAGGUCAAGGUGCAGCUCAUGAUGGGGAAGCAAUGGGCUACAAUUUCUAAGAUAGAACCACGGAAUGCUCCAUGAAACACAGCAUGAAGGCGGAUUUAGUAGUAAAAAGUAAAUAGAGUGUUCUUUUUAAUAAGGCCCUGGGACGUGUACACACCGCCCGUCACCCUCUUCAAUAGCACAUAAUAUGUUUUUAACAAGUUCUGCACUCUAGAAGAGGCAAGUCGUAACAUGGUAAGUGUACCGGAAGGUGCACUGAUACAAANNNACACCGAAAACUUAUCUGUGAAAUCAGAUUACUUUGAGCCAAAAAUUAAGCCUAUUUACCCUUUAUAAAAACCACACUCAACUAAACCACAAUAAAACAUUUUAUCAGUUUAGUAAAGGCGAUUAAAAAACUUUCUAGCGCUAUACUUUUAGUACCGCAAGGGAAAAAUGAAAUAGUUUUGAAAUAGUCUUUAAGCAAAAAACAGCAGAGACUAUUACUCGUAUUCCUUAAUAUGCCUUUAACCCUUUAUUUAUACUGAAUGGUUCUAUACUAUAUAGAAACCCCCCUGCUAAAACUAGUAACAAGAAAUUGAUUUUUCUCCAAAAUAUAUAUAUAAACCAAAAUGGACAAACCAUUGGUUAUUAACGUCAAUAAAACAAUAUAGCAACUUCACUAGAAAACACUAUUAAUCCAUACGUUAACCUUACACAAGUAUAUUUCUGGAAAGAUUAAAAGAAAGAGAAGGAACUCGGCAAAUCAUAACCCCGCCUGUUUACCAAAAACAUCGCCUCUUGAAUAACCAUAAGAGGUCCAGCCUGCCCAGUGAUAUAAUUUAACGGCCGCGGUACCCUGACCGUGCAAAGGUAGCAUAAUCACUUGUUCUCUAAAUAAGGACUAGUAUCAACGGCAUCACGAGGGUUAUACUGUCUCCUCUUUUUAAUCAGUGAAAUUGACCUCUCCGUGAAGAGGCGGGGAUAAUUAUACAAGACGAGAAGACCCCAUGGAGCUUUAAACCCAAUAACAGCCCACACAAGUUUUAUCCUAAAAUGAAAAAGCAAUGUUUAUUGGUUUUAGGUUGGGGUGACCACGGAGAAAAACCAAACCUCCACGAUGAAUGGACCUUAAUCCUAAUCUACGAGAUACUACUCCAAGAAUCAAUAAUUUGACAUAAUAUGAUCCGACAACGAUCAACGAACCAAGUUACCCUGGGGAUAACAGCGCAAUCCAUUUCAAGAGCCCCUAUCGACAAAUGGGUUUACGACCUCGAUGUUGGAUCAGGGUAUCCUAGUGGUGCAGCCGCUACUAAAGGUUGUUGUUCAACAAUUAAAACCC
rnacentral:misc_RNA from 1 species